UUAGAGUUUGAUCAUGGCUCAGAUUGAACGCUGGCGGCAGGCCUAACACAUGCAAGUCGAGCGGAAACGAGUUAUCUGAACCUUCGGGGAACGAUAACGGCGUCGAGCGGCGGACGGGUGAGUAAUGCCUAGGAAAUUGCCUUGAUGUGGGGGAUAACCAUUGGAAACGAUGGCUAAUACCGCAUGAUGCCUACGGGCCAAAGAGGGGGACCUUCGGGCCUCUCGCGUCAAGAUAUGCCUAGGUGGGAUUAGCUAGUUGGUGAGGUAAUGGCUCACCAAGGCGACGAUCCCUAGCUGGUCUGAGAGGAUGAUCAGCCACACUGGAACUGAGACACGGUCCAGACUCCUACGGGAGGCAGCAGUGGGGAAUAUUGCACAAUGGGCGCAAGCCUGAUGCAGCCAUGCCGCGUGUAUGAAGAAGGCCUUCGGGUUGUAAAGUACUUUCAGCAGUGAGGAAGGGGGUGUCGUUAAUAGCGGCAUCUCUUGACGUUAGCUGCAGAAGAAGCACCGGCUAACUCCGUGCCAGCCGCCG
rnacentral:rRNA from 1 species